rnacentral:rRNA from 1 species
CAGCAGCCACGGUAAAACGUAGGGCGCAAGCGUUAUCCGGAAUUAUUGGGCGUAAAGAGCUCGUAGGCGGUUUGUCGCGUCUGCCGUGAAAGUCCGGGGCUCAACCCCGGAUCUGCGGUGGGUACGGGCAGACUAGAGUGAUGUAGGGGAGACUGGAAUUCCUGGUGUAGCGGUGAAAUGCGCAGAUAUCAGGAGGAACACCGAUGGCGAAGGCAGGUCUCUGGGCAUUAACUGACGCUGAGGAGCGAAAGCAUGGGGAGCGAACAGGAUUAGAGACCCGGGUAGUCCCUGUCUCUUAUAA